rnacentral:rRNA from 1 species
UACGAAGGGGGCAAGCGUUGUUCGGAAUUACUGGGCGUAAAGGGCGCGCAGGCGGCCUGACAAGUCAGAUGUGAAAGCCCCGGGCUCAACCUGGGAAUAGCAUUUGGGACUGUUGGGCUAGAGAUCGGGAGAGGAGAGUGGAAUUCCCAGUGUAGAGGUGAAAUUCGUAGAUAUUCGGAAGAACACCAGUGGCGAAGGCGGCUCACUGGCCCGGUACUGACGCUGAGGUGCGAAAGCGUGGGGAGCAAACAGG